AUUGAACGCUGGCGGCAGGCCUAACACAUGCAAGUCGAGCGGAUGAAGGGAGCUUGCUCCUGGAUUCUGCGGCGGACGGGUGAGUAAUGCCUGGGAAUCUGCCUGGUAGUGGGGGAUAACGUCCGGAAACGGGCGCUAAUACCGCAUACGUCCUGAGGGAGAAAGUGGGGGAUCUUCGGACCUCACGCUAUCAGAUGAGCCUAGGUCGGAUUAGCUAGUUGGUGGGGUAAAGGCCUACCAAGGCGACGAUCCGUAACUGGUCUGAGAGGAUGAUCAGUCACACUGGAACUGAGACACGGUCCAGACUCCUACGGGAGGCAGCAGUGGGGAAUAUUGGACAAUGGGCGAAAGCCUGAUCCAGCCAUGCCGCGUGUGUGAAGAAGGUCUUCGGAUUGUAAAGCACUUUAAGUUGGGAGGAAGGGCAGUAAGUUAAUACCUUGCUGUUUUGACGUUACCAACAGAAUAAGCACCGGCUAACUUCGUG
rnacentral:rRNA from 1 species